GAUGAACGCUAGCGGCAGGCCUAACACAUGCAAGUCGAGGGAGGAGCUUUCGGGCUUCGACCGGCGUACGGGUGCGUAACGCGUAUACAAUCUGCCCUUCACAUAGGGAUAGCCCGAAGAAAUUUGGAUUAAUACCUAAUGGUAUAUAGGAGUGGCAUCACCUUUAUAUUAAAGCUGAGGCGGUGAAAGAUGAGUAUGCGGUCUAUUAGCUAGUUGGAGAGGUAACGGCUCCCCAAGGCGACGAUAGAUAGGGGUUCUGAGAGGGAUAUCCCCCACACUGGUACUGAGAUACGGACCAGACUCCUACGGGAGGCAGCAGUGAGGAAUAUUGGACAAUGGUCGGAAGACUGAUCCAGCCAUGCCGCGUGCAGGAAGACGGCCUUAUGGGUUGUAAACUGCUUUUGCAGGGGAAGAAUAAGGAGUACGUGUACUUUGAUGACGGUACUCUGCGAAUAAGCAUCGGCUAACUCCGUG
rnacentral:rRNA from 1 species